ACUCUCAUUACUCCCUUCUUCUUCUCUCGGCUUACCCUGCGUCUCGCCGGUGGUUCUCACCAGUGGUCGUCGCCGCGUGGUCUCGCCCGUCGCCGGUGGUACUCUAGCAAGAGUCUAUUUAAUUUCCUCACCUCUCACCGGUGGUUCCCUGCUCGAAAAACCCCCGCAAAAGGUAUUCCCUGCUCGAAAAAACAACCGGCGAAGUGAUUCCCUGCUCGGAAAACUAAGCUUCUUUGCUCGGCCGGUUCGCGAACCCUGUUCUCCGUCAAUCCUCGCUGCGGCAAGUAACUUUCUCCCCUGUCCCUUUUUAUUUUCGUUUUCAAAAUUAGGGUUUGUUCAUUUUUCAUUUUUGCAGAGAAAGCCAAAGAAAUUGUUGGCUGACAAGAUUAGGAGAAAAUACAUACGUUUAUCUCGGGUGGGUUAUGAUUUCUUUUGUUUUAAAUGAUGAAAUUUUGCAAAUUCUUGAAUCUUGAUCUUCGUAUGUAAUUUAAACAGAGAUAUAUCAAUUAAUUUGAUUUUCUUGAUGAGAAAAAUAUUGUAAUAAUCCCUGAUUAAGGAAAUAUAAUUCUGUUCAUGCUAGAAAAAUUCACUCAAAGAUAAAUGUUGAACAUCCGACUACCGUAAAAGUGAUGUAAAAUCGAAUGUUUCUGGUGGUUUCAUCUUGGUUAGUACCUCAAAUCAUGUUUUAGGCUCUUUCAUUAGGCAAAUGUGAAAAACUACUCCCUCCAUUCUUGAAUGUCAGUCCUUUUUUGAAUCUAAAGCAAUCCAAUUUAAGUAAUUUCAUGUUUCAUGUUUUAGGCCUUUUCAUUAGCCAAAUGUGACAAACUAUAUAUUAUUCUGAUGAAAUUAAUAUGCUUAUUUUGAGGUGUUUUCUUACUUGGUUCAUUUGGUGGAGUCACAGAGACUUCCUCCACCCUUUUGAAGGGCGCAUAUACCAGUAAAAAACCGUACUGUUAUAAUACUCGAGACAGAUACUGGAGAACAAUACGAAGCCAAUUAUCUGCCUCAAUAUCGUGGACUCAGUGGUGGGUGGAAAAGGUUUGCCAUAGUUCUGAAAUUGGAAGGAGAUACUGUUGUUUUUCAACUAGUUGAACCUGCCAAAUUUAAGUCUACCUCUUCUAGAAUCAAAUCACUAAACUAGUUGAAGCUGAGGAUAAAAGCUGCUAAUGAAGCUGAGGCGGCUUGCCAACGGCGUCUCUCUGUUGCUGAGGCUGAAAUAGCUGAUUUAAGAUCCAAAUUGGAUACUACUGAAAGCAUGGAAGGCAAGCAUUCGUUUCUGUGCCUAGCACUUUUCCUGUGCCUGGAGAAGAA